CUCCGAGUGGGAAGGGGAAGUAAAGCUCAUUUAGUUGGAGCUUCUCUAUUUGACAGAUAUGCCAGCAACGUCCAAGUUUCAUUUUCAGAGUGAGAUAUGGGAAGCACAGAGUGUUGUACAUGUAUGCCUGGUCCAUGCUGAGGUAUACAACAUGCUAGAAGGUAAAAGGCUAACCAUCAGGAGAAAAAAUACAUAAUACAGUACUGUGAAUGUCAGUAAAGUGAAUAGCAAGGAGCAGACAUAGAGGAGUCCAGGAUACGACCAUCACAUUCUGAACACAGCAUACCCAGCAAUUCUUCUAAAACCAUCUGUGAUUUGAUAUGCAAUUACAUAGGAGAAAAGUUACACAACUUCAGUAGUAUGGAUUUCUUUGAAGAAACAUUCCACUACAUGCAGUCCUUUUCUGAAAUAUAGCACAGUAUCCUUUUCACCUGUGAGGGCCCCAAAAUCCAGAAGAGUGCUGAGACUUUUCAAAGACUGUGGGUAGGCUCCAGCAAAAGCAAAUGGGUAUUGACCAGAUACACUGGUUUGGUGUUUUUUUUGAAGGCCUGAAACCUACAUCAGUUUUUUUUUCCCUUUUUAAACUGCAGUUCUAGAAAAUUAGUGUUGAAUGUUUCUUCCUAUGUAACCUCGAGGUCUUGCUGGUUAUUUAAACAUAUAUUUUUAGUUAAAGUAGUACUGAAUUGUUUCUGUUCACCAAAUCUUUGCUUGGAUCACAACUGGAAAUUAAUAUAGUCAUUUUGACCUGAACUGUUCACAUCUCAAUGAACAUCCACCUGGGCUUGACUGGCACUUUGAGCUUAUGAGAAAGCUGGGGUUGCUAAGGUGGUGUGGACCAAAAUAAAGGCACACCUGUGUCAAGAUUUUUGCA
rnacentral:lncRNA from 1 species